CCUACGGGGGGCAGCAGUGAGGAAUAUUGGACAAUGGACGAGAGUCUGAACCAGCCAAGUAGCGUGAAGGAUGACUGCCCUAGGGGUUGUAAACUUCUUUUAUAAAGGAAUAAAACGAGGCACGUGUGCCUUUUUGCAUGUACUUUAUGAAUAAGGAUCGGCUAACUCCGUGCCAGCAGCCGCGGUAAUACGGAGGAUCCGAGCGUUAUCCGGAUUUAUUGGGUUUAAAGGGAGGGGAGAGGGGUUGUUAAGUCAGGUGUGAAAGUUUGCGGCUUAACCGGAAAAUUGAAAUUGAUACUGGCAGUCUUGAGUACAGUUGAGGUAGGUGGAAUUCGUGGUGUAGCGGUGAAAUGCGUAGAUAUCACGAAGAACCCCGAUUGCGAAGGCAGCUUACUAAACUGUGACUGACACUGAUGCUCGAAAGUGUGGGUAUCAAACAGGAUUAGAUACCCUUGUAGUC
rnacentral:rRNA from 1 species